rnacentral:lncRNA from 1 species
AAAGAAAAAUCUAUAAUUUUGACCCAUACAAUGUAUUUUUGGCUAUUGCUACAAAUAUACCCCAGCGACUUAAGACUGGUUGUGUGCUCCAGGGUCACAUAUAUUAAUAUUUUUUUGUUUCUGUUUCGUUAGGAUUUUGAAAUGCUUCAUCCAGGCCAGAAGCUCCCUGAGGGCCCCGCUCUCUCUUUACUGCUGGAACGAGGUGCGUGUGAUUUCCCUCUGAUGGAUACUCGCUCUGUCCAUCGUGUCCAGUGUAUAUGGAUGUGUAUGAUGAUAACGGUUCUGUCUCCAGCAGGCUGCGGUGUGUGAUUGUGUAUGUGUGGUUCAGGAGGUAAUGGUGGCAGGUACGGGAUAUUUUAAAGCUCUCUCCGAUGGGACUGUCGAGGUCUUGUUUCUGGAUGGAGUUAGAGCGCAGAUGAUGUGGAAGUCCGACACGUAUACACCUGCACAGUGUGGAGAAAUGGAACAGAAACUCAGGGCAGAAACCAGACCAUCUUACAGGUGGUGCCAGCUCAAUUUGCCAGAUGGGCACCAAACUCUUGUCCAAGUUGAGACAGACCAAACUUAUCAAAGGUAUGUGUCGGCAGUAGUGCAGUGGUGUGACUGGGUAAAGCAGACAGAUCAGAGCAUGAGUGCAGUGGGCGUGACUCUCUCAGACUCCGCCCAUUGUGACACACCUCAGCCAAUAACGUACAGGUAUUAAGGAACUCUUAUUCCCUGGAUCAUUAUUUAUUAUUAUAUUCAUUUGCAUCACAUGA